CCUACGGGGGGCAGCAGUGGGGAAUAUUGCUCAAUGGGGGAAACCCUGAUGCAGCGACGCCGCGUGAGUGAUGAAGUAUUUCGGUAUGUAAAGCUCUAUCAGUAGGGAAGAAAAUGACGGUACCUGAUUAAUAAGCACCGGCUAACUACGUGCCAGCAGCCGCGGUAAUACGUAGGGGGCAAGCGUUAUCCGGAUUCACUGGGUGUAAAGGGCGCGUAGACGGCAUAGCAAGUCUGAAGUGAAAUGCUGUGGCUUAACCCCGGAACUGCUUUGGAAACUGUGCAGCUAGAGUGCAGGAGAGGUAAGUGGAAUUCCUGGUGUAGCGGUGAAAUGCGUAGAUAUUAGGAGGAACACCAGUGGCGAAGGCGGCUUACUGGACUGUAACUGACGUUGAGGCUCGAAAGCGUGGGGAGCAAACAGGAUUAGAUACCCCGGUAGUC
rnacentral:rRNA from 1 species